rnacentral:lncRNA from 1 species
AAGCAGACUUCCAAGAGCGAAGGGACUCAGCCUGAGGGAACAUAUGGAGAGCAACUUGUUCCUGAGCUGUGCAACCAAUCAGAGUCCAGUGGAGAAGAUUUCUUCCUGAAGUCCAGGCUCCAAGAACAAGAUGUCUGGAGAAGAUCCACUUCUUUCUAUACCCACAUGUGCAACCCCUGGGUCUCCCUGUUGGGGGCUGUUGGGUCCCUUCUCAUCAUGUUUGUGAUACAGUGGGUGUAUACCCUGGUUAACAUGGGUGUUGCUGCCAUCGUGUAUUUCUACAUUGGCCGGGCCAGUCCAGGGCUUCACCUUGGUCUGUGCCAAUUUGGAGCCAGUACCAGAAUGGAUGAGUGUCCAGAGUCCUGGGAGGUGCCAAGGGUGUCCCAUUCCUGGCUGGGCUUGGGCCUGGAUUGUGGCAUGGGAACCUAACAACUGGGCACCUCCGGGAGACUCAGAUGUUGCUCCUGCGUGCACUCCACCACACUCGGCCCCCAGAUUCGGCUCAUCAGAAGCUUCCUCUAGGCUCAUGUCCUCUUCCCUUCUUAUCCUCAGUCAUCAAGAACAGAG